rnacentral:rRNA from 1 species
AUUGAACGCUGGCGGCAUGCCUUACACAUGCAAGUCGAACGGCAGCACGGGUGCUUGCACCUGGUGGCGAGUGGCGAACGGGUGAGUAAUAUAUCGGAACGUACCUUAUUGUGGGGGAUAACGCAGCGAAAGCUGUGCUAAUACCGCAUAAUCCCUAAGGGGGAAAGCGGGGGACCGUAAGGCCUCGCGCAAUUAGAGCGGCCGAUACCUGAUUAGCUAGUUGGUGAGGUAAAGGCUCACCAAGGCAACGAUCAGUAGCUGGUCUGAGAGGACGAUCAGCCACACUGGGACUGAGACACGGCCCAGACUACUACGGGAGGCAGCAGUGGGGAAUUUUGGACAAUGGGGGCAACCCUGAUCCAGCAAUGCCGCGUGAGUGAAGAAGGCCUUCGGGUUGUAAAGCUCUUUUGUCAGGGAAGAAACAGCAGCUCUAACACAGUAUGCGAAUGACGGUACCUGAAGAAUAGGCACCGGCUAACUACGUGCCAGCCGCCGCAGUAA